UCAAGAUAAAAUUUCCCACCGCAAGGGUAAGACCCCAGAAAGACUAUCUGGUUGAUAGGUCGAAGGUGUAAGUGCAGCAAUGUAUUUAGCUUAUCGAUACUAAUAGGUCGAGGACUUGACCAAUAUUUAUU
rnacentral:rRNA from 1 species